UUUGCUGAGGACAUGUUAGAGACCAUAUGAGACAGAAAGUUAACAUUAACAUAAUGUGCAGUUUAAGAACUACAAACAAAAUACCUAGAAAUCACCGAGAAGGGAAGGGUUUUAACAAUAGGCUCACAUCUGAACAUUGAAGAUAGUAUUAAAGAUUCUUUGCAGGUUUUAUUAAAAGAAGAAUGAAAGAGGAAAAAGGGUAGGAAGAGAAAAAGUAGUUCACAGGCUUUAUUCUCAGCCAUCAGACUUGCUCAGCAAAACUCCACAUGUCCUACACCUUCCUAAUGUGCCUACAGUUUGUGAUCAUCUCUGUCUUGUUUUGAUCUCAGGCUCCAUGACCAUGAGAUCAAGACCUGAGCUGAGAUCAAGAGUCGCUUAACUGACUGAACCACCCAGGCACCCCUAGAAUUGUAACUUCUUGAUUGAGUUUGGCUCUCAUCAGGGUACACAAAAAGAAAAAGAAAAAAAAAACCUGUUUGUCUCAAGAUGUGGAUAGCUAGCUAUGCAGAGGUUUCCUGAGAUCAACCCUAUUCACCCAUCAAGGCAGAAAACCUGUUCACUCUUUCUAUCUGCAGAAAACAGAAGCAAACUGCCAUCCUGAAUUCUCCUGGCUAUCUGUCAGAUGUUAAGUAACAAAAUUCAACCAAGUAAAUUUGAAGAUCUAAUUGGCUUUAUUAAAGGAUUCAUGAAUCAGGCAGCACCCCAUUUAGCAAGUAAAGCACUGCGAGGAGUUGUACAAAAUGGAAGGUUUUUAUAGAUAGUGGAUGAGGGUAAGAAAAUUAUUAGCACAAGAAAAAGAUUGUUCCAGAGCAGGAUGUUUGCUAGGGGGAAAACAACCAGGUGUCUUAUCAUGCAGAUGACCUCAUCUUUCUUUGGGGGAUAGAGAGGACCCAAAUGAGAGACUCUCUGGUGCUAACAGAAGAAAAAUUUUCCUAACUGACUGGUUAAAGCUACAUUUCUGGGGAAGGUUGAAACUGCAACUAGGUUGGGUAUUAAGCCCAGUUUGGAACUCGGUCUAAGAAAUGCCAUUUUGGGCCUGCAGUUUUCUUUUUUUAACACAGAGAUGCUAAUUUUCUUAAUUCCAUCCCUUUCUGCAUAUUUUACUUGUGUCCUCUUUGUGUCCUCUAGUCAUCUAACUUGCAGUGACACUUGGCUCAUAAAGCAGACCAUUAUCCUGACAUUUCCUUCUUAGGAUGCUGUUCCCUUACUCCUCUUUAUCUUUGUAUAGAUACUGAGCAAUUAAAUUUAGAAUGAUGAACAAGUUAGAAAUAUGUGACUGAAGAUCUGCUUAAUUAGUGUUGAACAUUAUUCAGAACUAGAUCCUCACAAUUUUGCAAAGAAUAUUAUUAUCCCUGUGGUAAAUUUGGGGAAACAAAAAAAGAGGGAUCAAAACCUUUCCCAAAUUCACACUUUAAAAACUUAGUAAAAAUAGGAUUGUUAUGUCUUUACCCAAGCCAGUUUCCAUUUCCUAUGCCUUGGUCCUCUUAACUCAUCUCUGGAGCAUCUUUUAUAUUGUGUAUCUGUUAGCAAAUUAUUGUAGCUACAGUAUUUUACUUCAACUUUUAUACUAGACUUAAAAUUGCAAUAAAGGAGAGAGACUGAACUCUACUGAAAGAAAAGGUAGGACAGUUUUAAAGCAUAAAUACUAUAUGAUUUCAUUUAUAUGUGGAAUCUAAAAAACAAAACUAAUGAAUUAAAAAAAAAAAAAACCAGACUCUUAAAUAGAGACACAAAUUA